rnacentral:lncRNA from 1 species
UGCAGCUUGCCUCACACAACUGCCAGCUGAAGUGCAGAUUCAUAACCCUCAACCUCUCCCAACGACAAGCAGGCAAGGCAGGUUUGUCCGUCAUCUCCUACCAUGGGAGGAGGCUGGGUAUUCACCUGGAUACUGAACAGCGUCCUUGUGGUGGCACGGUGGAUGUGGGAGGCUGCACGUGGGUCCCUUAAGGACUCUGGAAUUGUCCUGCUCAUGGAGAGCCCAGGCCUCUCCUGGAUAUUCCACUGGCCCUCAGGGUUGGAGAAGAAUGAAUGCCCGCUCAAGUUUCUCAGGGGAACGUUCAAAUCAAGGUUGCGGUUGGCCUGUACUUCCCAGGAAGACUCCACACCAGGGCAAUUCUGAGUCUGGCAUUGUUUGGUAGCACAACUGUGCUCAAUGCUUCACUAAAGACCCUCCGUGACCUUGUUAGGAUGUCUUGGUCAUUGAGAAAAUCACAAAGGCUACUAAGUGCAAUGGAGACCUUACUAUAGUCACCUGACCAGCAUAUGCUUGACAAUCAGACUGAUUUCCCACAAAAUGUGCUAUAAACGCUUGAGCCUUUGCCUCUUUCAUCCCUCAUCUCUAAAUUUGAUUUAGUUUCAGAUCUCCAAAAACCAAUCAGCAUCAGUGACCUAAUCAGUAUGCACAUGGAGGGAGAAUAGAUACGGUUUGAGCUAUUGGUAUAAAAAAUAAUGUCAUGAUAAAGAUGCUAUUCUUGGUGCCUGAGAAGAUAUAAUUGACAAGGUUGUUAAAAAGAUAAUUCGAUAAUAAAUACCAAUAUGUUGGUCCAAAUAAAUAAAAUUGACCUGUGCUUGUUGGAAUAAUAAUUUCACAGUUUUAUCACAAUGAUACUGUCAUGUUUUUAUCAUUCUCAGCCUCAAACACGACAAUAAUUUUGUCAGCCUCAAACAUGGCCAUACUCUUGGGUUAUUACUAACUAACCAGCCUUCACUCUUUCAGAAGAAACAGGUCAUAACUUGGUGAAGAAAAAAGGGGAAAAUAUAAUUAAAUAAGUAGCCACCAAGUUUUUAAAAAACCAGCACAUCUAAAGUCAAGCAACUCUUGAAAAGAAUGAGACUCAAAAGUGGCUCCUCAAGCCCGGACCCUGGCUGCCAGUGCAGAGUUAAUCCAGAAGGGAGUGUAAGUAAUUUACAAUACCUUACAACCAAAGCAGAAAUUACCUAAGGCUUCCAGAAGGUUAGCAUACUAGCAGAGCUUUGAGAAAAAAAUAACCUCAUAAAAAUGAAACAUUCCAGUUUUAAAAACUUCUAAUUACUGAUAAUUUCAAAUAUACAAAAGUAAUGAGAACAUUCAGCC